UCUUUUGCAGAUGUGCUUUUA
rnacentral:siRNA from 1 species